AUAGAUACCAGGUAGUCCACCCGUAAACGUUGGGAACUAGUUGUGGGUCAUUCCACGGAUUCCGUGACGCAGCUAACGCAUUAAGUUCCCCGCCUGGGGAGUACGGCCGCAAGGCUAAAACUCAAAGGAAUUGACGGGGACCCGCACAAGCGGCGGAGCAUGCGGAUUAAUUCGAUGCAACGCGAAGAACCUUACCAAGGCUUGACAUAUACGAGAACGCUGCAGAAAUGUAGAACUCUUUGGACACUCGUAAACAGGUGGUGCAUGGUUGUCGUCAGCUCGUGUCGUGAGAUGUUGGGUUAAGUCCCGCAACGAGCGCAACCCUCGUUCUAUGUUGCCAGCACGUAAUGGUGGGAACUCAUGGGAUACUGCCGGGGUCAACUCGGAGGAAGGUGGGGAUGACGUCAAAUCAUCAUGCCCCUUAUGUCUUGGGCUUCACGCAUGCUACAAUGGCCGGUACAAAGGGCUGCAAUACCGUAAGGUGGAGCGAAUCCCAAAAAGCCGGUCCAGUUCGGAUUGAGGUCUGCAACUCGA
rnacentral:rRNA from 1 species